rnacentral:rRNA from 1 species
UACGGGGGGGGCAAGCGUUGUUCGGAAUUACUGGGCGUAAAGGGCUCGUAGGCGGCCAACUAAGUCAGACGUGAAAUCCCUCGGCUUAACCGGGGAACUGCAUCUGAUACUGGAUGGCUUGAGUUCGGGAGAGGGAUGCGGAAUUCCAGGUGUAGCGGUGAAAUGCGUAGAUAUCUGGAGGAACACCGGUGGCGAAGGCGGCAUCCUGGACCGAGAUUGACGCUGAGGCGCGAAAGCCAGGGGAGCAACGGG